rnacentral:sRNA from 1 species
AUGUCCCACGCGUCCACUGCGGUUCUGAGCGCACCGUGUGCGCCCACCUGACAGCUGCUCGCUAGGUUGUGUUCGCC